rnacentral:rRNA from 1 species
CCCGAAAGAUCGAAUGAGGAGACUCAUCGUCAGUGGAGUUGGCUUUCAUGUGGAUUGCGAUGGACAUGGUUCGCUAUGUUCACGCAUCGACUGUGGUAUGUUCAACUACGCCGGCGUGCACUUCUCCUCUAGUAGAACGUCGCGACCCGCUGAGUGUCGGUUUAUGGGCCGAGAUCGUCGACUGUUUCCGUCGUUUCGGCGUUCGGUUACAGACUCUCGGAUUUCAGACCGGCUGCUCGGCGGUAUACGAAAAGGUAUCGAGCCGCACCCGAAUGCGUUCAGACUCGUUGCAAGCUAUACCACAUAUUUGACCUGGAUGUUGCGGACCUAGCGCCGUCACCGGGAUUGGUUAGCUGUUGGUUGACGAUGCUCUCGAACCGGCUUAAUUUAUUUUAACGAUACCAGUCGGCGACGCUAUUGCUUUGGGUACUUUCAGGACCCGUCUUGAAACACGGACCAAGGAGUCUAACAUGUGCGCGAGUCAUUGGGAUAAUUAAACCUAAAGGCGCAUUGAAAGAGAAGAUCGGCUUUCCGUCGAUUGAGGGAGGAUGGGCAACCGGGCGACCGGUUACUCCGCACUCCCGGGGCGUCUCGUUGUCAUCGCGACAUGAGGCGCACUCAGAGCGUACACGUUGGGACCCGAAAGAUGGUGAACUAUGCCUGGUCAGGAUGAAGUCAGGGGAAACCCUGAUGGAGGUCCGUAGCGAUUCUGACGUGCAAAUCGAUCGUCGGAACUGGGUAUAG